ACUCCUACGGGAGGCAGCAGUGGGAAUAUUGCACAAUGGGCGCAAGCCUGAUGCAGCCAUGCCGCGUGUAUGAAGAAGGCCUUCGGGUUGUAAAGUACUUUCAGCAGUGAGGAAGGUAGUGUAGUUAAUAGCUGCAUUAUUUGACGUUAGCUGCAGAAGAAGCACUGGCUAACUCCGUGCCAGCAGCCGCGGUAAUACGGAGGGGGUUAGCGUUGUUCGGAAUUACUGGGCGUAAAGCGCACGUAGGCGGAUCGGAAAGUUGGGGUGAAAUCCGGGCUCAACCCCGAACGGCAUCCAAAACUAUCGGUCUAGAGUUCGAGAGAGGUGAGUGGAAUUCCGAGUGUAGAGGUGAAAUUCGUAGAUAUUCGGAGGAACACCAGUGGCGAAGGCGGCUCACUGGCUCGAUACUGACGCUGAGGUGCGAAAGUGUGGGAGCAAACAGGAUUAGAUACCCUGGUAGGCUCUG
rnacentral:rRNA from 1 species